GACGUAGGGCGCGAGCGUUGUCCGGAUUUAUUGGGCGUAAAGAGCUCGUAGGCGGCUUGUCGCGUCGGCUGUGAAAACCCGCGGCUCAACUGCGGGCCUGCAGCCGAUACGGGCAGGCUAGAGUUCGGUAGGGGAGACUGGAAUUCCUGGUGUAGCGGUGAAAUGCGCAGAUAUCAGGAGGAACACCUGAGGUGAAGACGGGUUGCUGGGCUGACACUGACGCUGAUGCGCGAAAGCUAGGGGAGCAAACGGG
rnacentral:rRNA from 1 species